rnacentral:lncRNA from 1 species
GGAAAAGCAGCGUUAGGAUCGGGAAGCCCAGGCAACGCGAGCAGAAGCUCUCCCUGAAAUCCAUUACUGCCAUAUCCGCGGUGACGGCCGGCAAUCACCGCCCGUCGCUCCAGCUCUUGAUGGGAGAACGCUUCUGCAGCGUCAGACCGCAGCUACCGCAGCUUCGCAAGUGAGAAAAAAAAUGCCAUCCCUGCUGUUGCACAGAUUUUGGGAAGCACGACGAGGAGUCGAGUCAAAAUAUUAGGAGUUUUGCAUUAUGUGACCCACUCGCGCUGACAGAGCGUCACGAGACGAAUGUGAUGAGCAGCGCGUCUCUCCGUGCAGAUUAACGAGGUCCGUGGCAAGGCAUUCGUGAUGGACCGAGGCACGGUGCCGCAGGAACACAGGCACCGAUCUCUCCUUUGCAGUUCUCACACAACCCUGCGCAAAUCAUUAAGGCUUCGGUGACAUGAAACACCUGUGACGGGAGAGAAACCAGGCAGGCUGGUCGUGGUGGGGCUGUGGUCGCCGCCAGUCCUGCCGCAGCGGGAGACCCGGCACUGCCGGCACAGCCAGCGCGGGGUAAAACGGCUGGGGAAGGGGCGGGAGGAGAGGGGAGAUUCUCACCAUGGUGGCAAUCCACCACCUGCGCCAAAGCGCAGUCCUUGGCUGGAGUGAAACCCAACGGACGGUUAAGCGGUGGAACAGGUUGCCCGGAGCAGAUGCACCGUCUCCAUCCUUGGGAGUUUUCAAGACCCGACUGGAUAAAGCCCUGAGCGACCUGGUCCAGCCCCGCAGCUUGGGGCAGGAGGUUGGAGCAGACACCUUCAGAGCUCCCUUCCAACCGGAAUUAUCCUAUCAUCCUACGAUCCCAUGGAAGGUCUGGGGACUUGUGAAGAGCUGGUCUUCUGAUGAGGUGAUGUGGCUGAAGAUUUCAGUUCUAACAAACCGGGAUUUUCGCUUGACAGAGAAAACGGCAUGGUUGUCCUCUGCGUCUGGAGGGUCUUGGAAACAAGAAAGAAUUCAAGGAAAACACGAUCUGGAGAUCUUUCCCGCAGAUACCGCAGCGUAA